rnacentral:rRNA from 1 species
CCUACGGGUGGCAGCAGUGAGGAAUAUUGGUCAAUGGACGAGAGUCUGAACCAGCCAAGUAGCGUGAAGGAUGACUGCCCUCUGGUUUUUAAAUUUCUUUUAUAUGGGCGUAAAACGUUCCACGUGUGGGAUUUUGUAUGUCCCAUAUGAAUAAGGAUCGGCUCACUCCGUGCCAGCAGCCGCGGUAAUACGGAGGAUCCGAGCGUUAUCCGGAUUUAUUGGGUUUAAAGGGAGCGUAGGUGGAUUGUUAAGUCAGUUGUGAAAGUUUGCGGCUUAACCGUAAAAUUGCAGUUGAAACUGGCAGUCUUGAGUACAGGAGAGGUGAGCGGAAUUCGUGGUGUAGCGGUGAAAUGCGUAGAUAUCACGAAGAACUCCGAUUGCGAAGGCAGUUCACUGGACUGCAACUGACACUGAGGCUCGAAAGUGUGGGGAUCAAACAGGAUUAGAUACCCCAGUAGUC